rnacentral:rRNA from 1 species
AUACGGAGGGGGUUAGCGUUGUUCGGAAUUACUGGGCGUAAAGCGCACGUAGGCGGAUUAAAAAGUUAGAGGUGAAAUCCCAGGGCUCAACCCUGGAACUGCCUUUAAAACUAGUAGUCUAGAGUUCGAGAGAGGUGAGUAGAAUUCCAAGUGUAGAGGUGAAAUUCGUAGAUAUUUGGAGGAACACCAGUGGCGAAGGCGGCUCACUGGCUCGAUACUGACGCUGAGGUGCGAAAGCGUGGGGAGCAAACAGGAGUAGAAACCCUAGUAGUCC